GCCAGUGCUGCUGCCUCCGCACAGCGAGCUGCCACUGUCCGCCUAGCCUCCGCUGUAUAGAGCCUGUGCAGCUGUCGCUCCGUGUAGUGACGUCACGCAGGUGACGUCGGCGUGACAGGGGCGAGCUGCGCGCACCUGUGGAGCGGCGCUGACGGCCGCAGUGGCUCCUGGACUCUCACCGGACCCUCAUCACACUGACAUGGACGCCGACACCAGCGCCGACACCGGGUGCGACGCGCCGAUGCUGAACGGCGGCGGCGGGCGGCUGGAGCUGGUGGCGGCGGCGCACAAGGAGCCGGCGGAGGCGCUGCUGGGCCCGGUGCCGCCCCC
rnacentral:lncRNA from 1 species